rnacentral:rRNA from 1 species
CCCUUAGAUGUUCUGGGCCGCACGCGCGCUACAAUGAUGAAUUCAACGAGUUUAUAACCUUGGUUGAAAAGCCUGGGUAAUCUUUUGAACUUUCGUCGUGAUGGGGCUAGACCCUUGCAAUUAUUGGUCUCCAACGAGGAAUUCCUAGUAAACGCAAGUCAUCAGCUUGCAUUGAUUACGUCCCUGCCCUUUGUACACACCGCCCGUCGCUACUACCGAUUGAAUGGUUUAGUGAGGCCUUCGGAUCCGCGAUUUUAUUGUGGAGAAGUUGGACAAACUCAGUCAUUUAGAGGAAGUAAAAGUCGUAACA